AACGAACGCUGGCGGCAUGCCUAACACAUGCAAGUCGAACGAGAUCUUCGGGUCUAGUGGCGCACGGGUGCGUAACGCGUGGGAAUCUGCCCUUUGGUUCGGAAUAACAGUUGGAAACGACUGCUAACACCGGAUGAUGACGAAAGUCCAAAGAUUUAUCGCCAGAGGAUGAGCCUGCGUAGGAUUAGCUAGUUGGUGUGGUAAAGGCGCACCAAGGCGACGAUCCUUAGCUGGUCUGAGAGGAUGAUCAGCCACACUGGGACUGAGACACGGCCCAGACUCCUACGGGAGGCAGCAGUGGGGAAUAUUGGACAAUGGGCGAAAGCCUGAUCCAGCAAUGCCGCGUGAGUGAUGAAGGCCUUAGGGUUGUAAAGCUCUUUUACCCGGGAUGGUAAUGACAGUACCGGGAGAAUAAGCUCCGGCUAACUCCGUGCCAGCCGCCGCCGUAA
rnacentral:rRNA from 1 species